UACACAUGCAAGUCGAACGGUAACAGGUCUUCGGAUGCUGACGAGUGGCGAACGGGUGAGUAAUACAUCGGAACGUGCCCGAGAGUGGGGGAUAACGAAGCGAAAGCUUUGCUAAUACCGCAUACGAUCUCAGGAUGAAAGCAGGGGACCGCAAGGCCUUGCGCUCACGGAGCGGCCGAUGGCAGAUUAGGUAGUUGGUGGGAUAAAAGCUUACCAAGCCGACGAUCUGUAGCUGGUCUGAGAGGACGACCAGCCACACUGGGACUGAGACACGGCCCAGACUCCUACGGGAGGCAGCAGUGGGGAAUUUUGGACAAUGGGCGCAAGCCUGAUCCAGCCAUGCCGCGUGCAGGAUGAAGGCCUUCGGGUUGUAAACUGCUUUUGUACGGAACGAAAAGACUCUGGUUAAUACCUGGGGUCCAUGACGGUACCGUAAGAAUAAGCACCGGCUAACUACGUGCCAGCAGCCGCGGUAAUACGUAGGGUGCGAGCGUUAAUCGGAAUUACUGGGCGUAAAGCGUGCGCAGGCGGUUAUGUAAGACAGAUGUGAAAUCCCCGGGCUCAACCUGGGAACUGCAUUUGUGACUGCAUAGCUAGAGUACGGCAGAGGGGGAUGGAAUUCCGCGUGUAGCAGUGAAAUGCGUAGAUAUGCGGAGGAACACCGAUGGCGAAGGCA
rnacentral:rRNA from 1 species